rnacentral:rRNA from 1 species
AGCGAACGUUAGCGGCGGGCCUAACACAUGCAAGUCGAACGAGAAUGUAGGCUUCGGUCUACUAGUAAAGUGGCGGACGGGUGCGUAACACGUGGGUAAUCUACCUUCCGGCGGGGGACAACAGUCCGAAAGGAUUGCUAAUACCGCGUACGUCAGCGGCGCCUACGGGCGCUGUUGGGAAAGAUGGCCUCUCCUUGGAAGCUGUCACCGGAAGAUGAGCCCGCGUCCCAUCAGCUAGUUGGGGAGGUAAUGGCUCACCAAGGCUAAGACGGGUAGCUGGUCUGAGAGGAUGAUCAGCCACACUGGGACUGCGACACGGCCCAGACUCCUACGGGAGGCAGCAGUGGGGAAUAUUGGGCAAUGGGCGAAAGCCUGACCCAGCCACGCCGCGUGAGUGAUGAAGGCCUUCGGGUCGUAAAACUCUGUUGUUAGGGAAGAACAAGUACAAGAGUAACUGCUUGUACCUUGACGGUACCUAACCAGAAAGCCACGGCUAACUACGUGCCAGCCGCCGCGGUAAUAC